rnacentral:rRNA from 1 species
GACGAACGCUGGCGGCGUGCUUAACACAUGCAAGUGGUGCGACGAACCAGGGCUUGCCCUGGGGCAAAGCCGCGAACGGGUGAGUAACACGUGGGUAAUCUGCCCCGAUGACCGGGACAACCCGAGGAAACUCGGGCUAAUACCGGAUGUGGUGCACUGACAUAAGUCUGUGUACUAAAGGAAGCUUCGGCCUCCGCAUUGGGAGGUGCCCGCGGCCCAUUAGCUUGUUGGUGGGGUAACGGCCUACCAAGGCGACGAUGGGUAGCUGGUCUGAGAGGACGAUCAGCCACACUGGGACUGAGACACGGCCCAGACUCCUACGGGAGGCAGCAGUGGGGAAUCUUGCGCAAUGCGCGAAAGCGGGACGCAGCAACGCCGCGUGGGGGAAGACGGCCUUCGGGUUGUAAACCCCUUUCAGGAGGGACGAAGGUUCGCCGGUGAAUAGCCGUGCGGAUUGACGGUACCUCCACAAGAAGCUCCGGCUAACUACGUGCCAGCCGCCGCCGUAAGAC